GGAGAACUUUGAACGGAUCUUCCACCCAAUAUCGAGGCUUACAAUGAUGUCUCAGUAGGAAGCACUUUUGGCGACGAUCAUAUACUAAAUCUUUUUCCUUAAAACUGCACAUGUCCAAUGAUUGUUGGCAACACUUCGCAUCAAUUUCAAACAUUAGUUGUGGUGUGUGGGUUGUCAAGGGACUGCAUAGUUCACAUGAGUAUACGUUGCAUAUGCCAAGAGUGGCAUUUAAAGCCACUCUUUUGUGAAGCAAAUUCUAGAAAAGUUCAUACCAACAGAAUUAAGAGAGUAAACAAACGAGGAUUAUUUUUAAAAGGAAACAACUGGUUACAAUGUCAUGGCCCAAAAUUCAAACUUGCUCGAAUCUUGAGGUGUGACCAUCAAAGUUGACCAAGAUACCAUUCAUGUUCAACAUCCUCAAAGGAAACCAUAUGUUCAAUCGAAAUUCUAUGAAAAAUAUAUUAUAAUCAAUAGCUCUUAGAUAAAGUCCACUCA
rnacentral:lncRNA from 1 species